CAUUUUAAAAAUUAUAAAAACACAAAAUUUGUAAAAAUUAAGACGCUGGGGAGAGAAACAGGUCAUUUUCAACAAGACAUCGUAAAAUCCGUCAGUCGCUCCCUGGUUUUCGACCUCCGGCAACUAUCCCUGGUAGCGCCCGGACUUGGAGGGUAGAUAUCCAAUACUUACUCCCGCCGGCGUCUACGAAACAAUAACGUUGUAACAAACAAAUUAAUGUGAACGUGAAGGAGGUGAUGGACUUUGGAACUCGUGGGAGACAAAAGUGCAGAAAGGCUAAAAGGCGGUGGACAGGAGGCAUUCCAUUGGGAGACUGCGAACAAACCACCUCGAACGUAGCUGCUUCAACUUGGCUUGUGAAGAAUCAUCUUAUGAGAAAACAUCAGGAAAACAGCAUUCAUCGACUGGGAUAUGCAGACAGCUGUUCUUCAAAGUUUAAAUAGCUCAAUAUAAUUACAUUUCCUGGAUGUAUAUGCUCAAAAAGUAAUAAAUAAUGUUUACUAUCA
rnacentral:lncRNA from 1 species